GUGUCGGGCCAGCCAGGCCUGGCGGUUAGCAGGCCUCCCUUCGGGCGAGGGCAGCCACGCCAGGGACACCGGCCAGGAGAUGGGGAGCAGAGGCCCCGGCCCAGCUUCCCCAGCUCAUUCUGUGAGCUCGUGGCUCACCUCCCUCAGGGAAAAAAGUAGAGGUGCCUUUCUCCACCCCCCUCUCAUCUUUGAGGAGGCAAAUGUGAGUCAGAGCACAAUUUAUAGAAAUGGAAUUAUUUGAGCCCAAAUCGUGAUGUUUAAAAUGAUUCUUGAAAAGAAAUUAAUGUCUUGCAAACAGUAAGAAUCGGUGGGAAUCGAUCUGGGGUCUCUGGCGACCGCCCCCCUUCUUCAUGGGGAACCUCAGCCUCACUGAUGCUGGGAGUGAAAAGUCAACAAAGUAGGCCGAGAAUCAAGGUAUGUCCUCGAGUCACUGCCACCCACCACCCACCUCCUUGGCCGCGCUGGAUCGACCUUCCAGCAGGCACGUGGUGACCCGCGCACCUCUGUUCCCUUCUCUGUCAGAGGGUCUCGUGGUGCCUCUUACACGAGUAAAUACAAGAGACGUUGCUCUGGAGCUGGGCAUGUGGAGGGGGCCAAGCCCAUGGUAAGUCUGUGGGGGAGUUUGGAGAGCCACACGUACCCCCACUUACACGCAGGGGCAGGUGCGCUGGUCAGAGGACACCCUAAACAUGGUGCAGCUAGGAACUGGCUGGGUCCUCGGACCAGGCACCCCUCACCUCCCGUCUUGGAAUCGGGGAAGCCGCCGUGGCCAGUAGCAUCUGUGAGAGAACUCGGGGUGGACGCAUACCACGAGGUCAGCUUCACGCCACUCCUGUUUUCGGGCUAGCAGGUGGAACCCGCCCCGUGUCUCCUUCCAGGAGAACCAGCACCUUACGCCAGGAGCUGCUGGAGGCCGUGUUUGUUGACUUUAUUCUCAUGACCUGCCAAAGUAUCUGCCGCUGUGACCCUCCUUGACAGGUGAGGACAGGCGCACGCAGAGGUCGAGUCGCUGGCCCUAGGUCACAAAAGUACUGAGUGGAGCCAGGUUUCAGCCCACACGGUGUCGCCUCGGAGUCCCUCCCCUCACCACUGUGUUACACCGGAGGAACACCUGGGUCAUGCGAGGUCAGAGGUGCAGAGGAGGGGGUGGCCACGAACACAUGGGAGGGCUUCUGACCAUGCACUUGACUUCUAGAACCAGAGGAACCCAGAAACCAUCCAGUCCCGUGGCCUUCACAUACACUUCAGAAGCGCCUGUGCUUACAUAAGCUUAAGUUUUAUUGAGAUGCAGUUGGCCCGCAGCUCUGUGUCAGUCCCGGGGCACCGCAUAAUGACUCGCGUACGGUAUUGUGAGAUGACCACAGUAAGUUUAGUUGACCUCCACCUCCUCGCUUAGUGACCCCAGCGGAAACCUCCUAGGUUCCUGUAGUAAGAACACCGGUGAACUCUCCAUCGUGCCGGGGCAGGGGCAGCGAGCAGUGGACGAGUGGGCAUCUCUGCUGCCGGAAGCCCACGGAGCUCCCAGCAGCCCCUGGAAUCAGGCCCAUUCAGGAAUCCCUUUUAUGCAGCGGGUCCGGGCCCCGGAGGCAUCUGAUAGAAGUGCUGGGUCUCUGCCUGUCUCCCUCCCACACACACACAUCCCGGCCCGCUCACACCAGCACCAUGCACAGAGUUGGGGUGUGGAUUCCCGGGGACACUGGGUGGACCCGGGCACUAAAGCGAACACUGAGGGGUCAGCCUAAGGUUCCCUGUCCACCUCGCUCAGGUGCGGUCACCUCAUUAGUGCCUUCAUUACCAUCUCUAAAAUGCAUCUUCUAGAAAUUUGCCUCAAGUUAAGUGUAGAUUAAAGGGCACCUUCUAGCCAGUGACUGCCCCUUUCCUUUGGGACUUUCUCCUGGAGCCCCACGUGCCACUCCUAACACAAGGCAGGUGAACGGAGCAUCAAGGAACCUGUUGACCACGGGCUUACGGAGAGCGUGUUUCGACCUUACUGAAAAUGGGCUCCUGCGUCGUGAAGUCAGCCCAGCGUGAGCGUGCUGCUGAGGCUUGGAGACCAGAGCAGGCUCAGCUCCCGAACAGCGAUGGAUCCUAAGGCCAGGGCCUCUCGCAAACCAGAAUGUUAGGCACCGCUGAACCCACAAAACCCAGGCUGACCCCCAAGGCCACAUUCACUGGCUGCUCUUGAGCUGAAAAGCAAAUAACGUCUCUAAUAAGUCCGACCGUUUGAUGAAUUGUUUUCUUUGGUUCAGUGUUGUCAAAAUCCAGAUGAUUCUGUGGUGAAAGUGUUUGCUAGGAGAGCCAGAGGUUGCUUACUACAGAACUCUGUCCUCACGAGUUUCAAAAAGACCAGAAUAAAAAGCCUGCCACGUGGAGUGCCACGUGAGUGAAGCCCGAGCACGCGAGCAGGUCAGGGUCAACCAGCACGAAAGGCAGAGGAACAGGCUUACCGGAACCUGCGGGGGGCCUGGUGGCGCAGAGAGUGACGGCCAAAGGGCUGCAUUCACACUGGGGAUGUCCCCGAGUCCACCAUGGGUGCAGUAACUCCCUGGAAGGACCCAGAAGGAAGCAAAACUACCUUACUCCUGGUCACCCUUUAUGACCACUAAGGACACAGGUUAAGGUCAGCAGGAGGAAAAGCCACGUCGGGCAGGGCCAGCCGGGAGAGGCUGGGCUCGGAGCCCGCUCGUCCUCUCCUGGAGGUCACUUCUGCUCUGCGUGCGUGGGCCAAACCAGGGAGGGCCCGGGCACCUGGCUGUCCAGAGCUUCAGGGGGGCCAAUCACACUUAACGUGGGAUUCCAAAGGCUGGGCUGACCCUGUGCAGCCCACAACCACACUCCAGAUCCCAUUGUCACCGUGGACUAGCAGGACUUCCCCAGGGCUUUGGGGCAGCCUGCCGGGAGCUGGGCAGCGGCCAAGCCUCUCCUGGGGUUGGGCGAGCCCUUCCUGGCACCGUGGUCCUCACAGACAGGGAGCUAGCAGCACGGAGAGGCUCGCUCACGGCCGAGCCCACAGCCAACAAGGGCACAGCCAGGAGCCGGCGCUCCCUCCGGGGCCUCUGACUCAGCUCUCCCCAUGGCGCCACCACGGGCAGCCAGCCGGAGGGGGGCCUUCUGGCUCUGGCACAAGACCGGCUUUCCAAUUAAGCCGUUGGAGAAGGUGGAGGAUUCCAGAGACAAGGCUACCAACCCGCUGAUAGGAAAAGAACAGACCCUAGAGUAUAUGGGCCGCGCUCAGCAGCUCUGGGGGGAAACCACUGCGUCCCCCGAAGUGGGUAAGAGGUGACUUGUAUUCAACAUCAAAAUUAAAGACAGGAGAAGAGGGACUCGGCGGGAGGAUGGGCUUGCUCUCAAUUUUGCGCAAAUUGAAAAGUGCACCAGACCAGGAGGUGAGAAUCCUUCUCCUGGGCUUGGAUAAUGCUGGCAAGACCACUCUUCUGAAACAGCUUGCAUCUGAAGACAUCAGCCACAUUACACCUACACAGGGUUUUAACAUCAAAAGUGUACAAUCACAAGGUUUUAAACUGAAUGUAUGGGACAUUGGUGGACAAAGAAAAAUCAGACCAUACUGGAGAAAUUAUUUUGAAAAUACCGAUAUUCUCAUUUAUGUAAUUGACAGUGCAGACAGAAAAAGAUUUGAAGAGACGGGUCAGGAACUAGCUGAAUUACUGGAGGAAGAAAAACUAAGUUGUGUGCCAGUGCUCAUCUUUGCUAACAAGCAGGAUUUGCUCACGGCAGCCCCUGCCUCCGAAAUCGCAGAAGGACUAAACUUGCACACCAUCCACGACUGCAUCUGGCAGAUCCAGUCCUGCUCAGCUCUCACAGGAGAGGGCGUUCAGGACGGCAUGAACUGGGUCUGCAAAAAUGUCAAUGCAAAGAAGAAAUAAAAUCUAGCCGAACGGAGAGACGCAGGAGCUGCGGGAGCUGAAUUCUGUCCUGAAAAACACUAAUUUGCUGCUUUCUGACCAAAUGUUUUUCCAUCUGUGUGCAGCUACAGCUGUUUGAAGAGAGGGAACAACACAGUUUAAAAAGAAUCCCCAUCCCAGCAGAUUUAACUGAUCUCUGAGGUUCAGUAUCAUUUUUCAAAUAAAGGAAUUAUAUUUAAAAAAAAAAUUAAAGACAGGAAACAUACCUCAGCUUCAGACACCGUCAUGGCUCCCCUGGCACCGGGUAACUAGCAACGUCAGAGUCCAGCAAGUUCUCCAGAGGGCGGGAAUCUCAGGCAAAAAAACUUCACUCAUUCCCUCCUUCAUUCAUUCACAGCGUAAUGAACACCAUGGGCCCCCUGCCCAAAUUAAAACGUAGUCAAUUAACAGUAACGAAUGUCCUCUCUUACUAGCGUUUUCUCCAGCCUGGAGAUUGGCACGACUUCAGGUGCCAGCAGGCACGUCAUCGGUGAGGAGACCCAGGGCCGUGGAGGCUCAGGCCACGUAGAGCCGAGCCCAGAGAGAACCCGCGUCUCCCCGAGUGACGCUGGGACCAGCGUCAGAUUUCUGUUGACCAGGCUCGGGUCCCCACCACCAGUCUGCACACUAGUGCUGAGCAUGACGGAGUGCCGCCACGUCCUCAUCGAGGUGUGAGAGAUGGCCAGCGGAGCCAGUCCCUCAGAGAAUGAAUGGCAUGAAAGCAUUAUUGUCCUUUACCGGACGGGCUCUUCCUCCACUUUGGGCACGAGGCCCUCAUGAAGUGGCAAACGCAAACAGCCGUUUCUUUUGUAAUUCCAUACUUGAAAACAGUUGGCAAUACUGUGUCCCCCUACCCCCCCCCGAAGGUGUUAACUGUAUGACAAUAGUGAUCUGCCUGCUGACCUGUGAAAUCCAGAAUUCUAGAAACCCUGGUCUGCUUUGAAGCCCUUGCUUUACAGACAAUGAGGCAGACUCAGAGGAAGCAAGCCCCUAGCUAGUGAGUGCUACCCCCACCCCACUGGGGUUUUCUUUCUUUUUUUUUUUAAGAUUUUAUUUAUUUAUUUGACAGACAGCCAGAGAGAGAGGGAACACAAGCAGGGGGAGUG